GGAUUGCUAAACAAAAUACCUCAAGGCUUAAGAUUUGAAUUUCGUUGAGGAAUUGUGUUUGAAUUCGAUUGGGUAGUCAUGAUUUUGGUUGGAAACAUCAUUGUGAAGCUCCAUAUGAAGAUUUGAGAACGAUUUGAGCUGAAUUUCUAGGGUUUGUGUUCAGAAAAAUUCGAACCAUUUUGACGAAGAAGAAGACCUAGGGUUGUCGAUUUCUUGAGCAUUGAACUAAAUAAGUUACUGGGAUUUGUUCGAGCUGCUAUUGGGAAGCCGUAUUCUAGAUUUGAGCUCGUUUUGCGAAGGUUUGGUUAGGUUUCGAUUGAGUCAGUUGAAGCUGUUUUGCGAAGAAGAAAACCACUAGGGUCUUUCGAUUGAGGAAUUGUUCGCACAAAUUAAACAUUGGGGAUUGAUCUUAGAGUGGUUUGGAGGCAGCAUCCAAAGUUUUAUUGCAUCUGCUGAAGGAUUGAUCAAGAAUCGAAUUCUCUGCCAUUGAAGCUCGAAGAACUUGGGCGAACAGCUGCGAUUUCUGGAAUUGAGUUUUUGAUUGUAUUGCAUAGACUACACAACGUCUCUACGCAUCGACGCAUAGCUGACUCCAGCAAUUCAUCGUUGAAGAAUUGCACAGGUUUGAUUUCUGAGUAUUAAGCUAAGCUCGACUUCUGAAAAAUUGAAGAUUGAAAUUCAUCUUUAGCUCUUUGGAAUUGAUUGAGUUUGAGUUCAUAAGUCGACUCGAGCUUCUUGUUGAUUUGUUAUUGAGUGAAUUUGUGAGCGCCACCGGAGGUUGCUGUUGAAUUGUGAACUAGAUAACUGUUUAGAGCUUGUUGUGAGACGCUGAAGUUUUUUCCCUGUGUUUUGAAGUUGAAUUCUGCUUCUAUGAGUUUGACUACUAUUUGGUGCGACUGUUUGUCCUUUCCGAAUCUUGAGAGCUGCUGCACUAUUUAGAAAUUCUCUGCACUAUGUUGCUUGCUGCUGUAACUAAAGUUUGAGAUAGGUAGCAGCUUAUAAUCUGAUUGGGGAUAGCUAUUCAAACUGAUUAAAGAAAAACAACUACAGCUGGGGUGAACUGAAAAUUUCGAAGUGAGGUUUGAAAAACAGCUGUUGUAAGUAUUGGAAUUCUGGUUUCAUACCUGUUAUGCACUUCUGAGUUUAUUUUUGUUAAGUUGACUGUGGGAUUCAAUUUCUAAUCCUUGUAGUAAAUCUAUCUCAGUUUCUGCUGCUAAGGAUUGAGUUUGCUGCUGAAGUUCUUUUUUGGUUUAUGAGUUUUGAGUUGAAGGUUGUCGAUUAAGCAUAUACUGAAAAUAACCUCUGGUUGUUCUGAGUGUAGUUAUGGUUUUAAUAUUCUGCCGAGUGUUGGGUAAGUGUAUUGCUGACAUUGCAGCUUUAGAUAGCAUUUUGAGUUCGGAAAUUAGAGGCUUUGAGCUGAAGUGUUGGGCUACAGUUUAAGCGACAAAUAUGCACUGUUGAGCUCCAGUUAAGCUGCAAACAUGCAGCACCUUAUUCAGUUAAGUUCCAACUGCAUUUUUUGCACAGCUGUGCCUUGAAAUAAGUCUUCUGAUAGUUGUCCAUGAGAAUAGUUAAUGUGACUAAUCAGUUGAGUUUUAGAA